ensembl:rRNA 5S_rRNA 5S ribosomal RNA
GCUUACGGCCAUACCAACCUGGCUAUGCCCGAUCUCGUCUGCUCUCGGAAGCUAAGCAGGUUUGGGCCUGGUUAGUACUUGGAUGGGAGACCGCCUGGGAAUACCAAGGUGCUGUAAGCU